rnacentral:rRNA from 1 species
UACGUAGGGUGCGAGCGUGGCCCGGAUUUAUUGGGCGUAAAGGGCGCGUAGGCGGCUCUGCACGUCCGUUGUGAAAUCGCCCGGCUCAACUGGGCGGGGUCAGCGGAUACGGCGGAGCUUGAGCAAGCUAGGGGGCAAUGGAAUUCCCGGUGUAGUGGUGGAAUGCGCAGAUAUCGGGAAGAACACCCGUGGCGAAGGCGGCACUCUGGGACGGUACUGACGCUGAGACGCGAAAGCGUGGGGAGCGAACAGG